AGGCAAGUCGCCUCUCGGAGCACUCGAAUCCGGUGUUUUCUUUUAUACCGCCCCGAACUCUGGUCCGCUGGUCGUCCGCUUCGUCUGCUGCUGGAAGGAAUCGUUCGUUCCGGUAACUACUUCACAAAGCUGCCGCCACCGCUAUGAGUUUUACCGCGACUUCCAAGACACAGAUAAUAUCAAUGGCCGUUGGUUCCGCCGGCGGCCCUCCCCAGCAUCCUCCAGAAGGAUCCGGAGAAUAGCAUCGGUGAGGACAGUUCCGAGCAGCGGUCGAAGGUUUAAGUUUGAUUGACGCGAUCAUGCCGAAGGUGGUGGCCAUCCGGCAGAACAUGCCGAAUCACCAGCAAAAGUCGAUUAAACCGGAGGCUGCGUAAACCAACGGGACGACGAGCAGCGGAAGGAAAUGAAGUUUUGGUUAUAUUACGAUAAUUU